rnacentral:tRNA from 1 species
GCGCCCAUAGCUCAGGGGAUAGAGCAUUGGUUUCCGGUACCAAGAGUCGGGGGUUCAAAUCCCUCUGGGCGCGCUA